AGACACAGCAAGAGAAGGAACACAAGCAGGGGGAGUGGGAGAGGGAGAAGCAGGCUUCCUGCUGAGCAGGGAGCCCGAUGCAGGGCUCGAACCCAGGACCUUGGGAUCAUGACCUGAGCCAAAGGCAGAAGCUUAACGACUGAGCCACCCAGGUGCCUCUGAUAAUGGCCAAACUCUUGACUCGAUUUUAGUUUGAUGCUUGGAGUUUUGUAGUUUUCCCUGAGUUCUGCUUCUCUUCACCGUCCCUUGAACAGAGUAGCUAUAUUGUGCUCAUCUCUCCUCUUUCGUCUCUGACCACCCCCUUUCUCCUCCUCCUUGAAGAGAAGUUGAGCGUGUGCCUGUUUUCUAAACACUCAGCAUCAAUGACCUCAUGCAAUUUUUUCAGUGACCUUGUGAACUCUUGGAAUUUGGGGACACAAUGUUCUCAAGUGCUGAAUAACUGCUUUCAUCAGACGUCUUGAUGUAUGAAUCUCUGUAUCAUGUCCAAAGUAAGACGUCAGUCAGUUACCCAGAAUUACAUUCAUUCAAUUCACCAACUUAGGGGAAAAGGAGAAAAUAUAAGAUGAAACAGAAUAUGUGAUUAUUGGGUUGCUCUUCCACAGGGAUGCUGCCUCCUCAAACCAGCAUACAUCUUCCUAGGGAUCUAACCUUUUCGGUGAGGACAGCCAUCUCUCUGUGUAGCUGUGUCUUACUGGGACCGUGCUCUUCAUGAUACCUGCCACCAAAUAUUUUGAUUCUGAGGGGAAGUGCAUCAGAAGGAGUCUAGCUGAAUGGGCCUGGGGGUAAUAAUGAGAUGAUAUGUCCAAGAUAUGGUAUCACUCCUCCUGCUGGCUAUAGAGAAUUAGAAAGAACACAAAGCAAUUACAGGUUCAAAUACAAGGUCAAAAUUGGGAAGAAUAUAAAGCAACAGGAUUGAUAUGCAAGGUA